rnacentral:rRNA from 1 species
AUUGAACGCUGGCGGCAGGCUUAACACAUGCAAGUCGAGCGGAGAUGAGGUGCUUGCACCUUAUCUUAGCGGCGGACGGGUGAGUAAUGCUUAGGAAUCAGCCUAUUAGUGGGGGACAACAUUCCGAAAGGAAUGCUAAUACCGCAUACGUCCUACGGGAGAAAGCAGGGGAUCUUCGGACCUUGCGCUAAUAGAUGAGCCUAAGUCGGAUUAGCUAGUUGGUGGGGUAAAGGCCUACCAAGGCGACGAUCUGUAGCGGGUCUGAGAGGAUGAUCCGCGAAACUGGGACUGAGACACGGCCCAGACUGCGACGGGAGGCAGCAGUGGGGAAUAUUGGACAAUGGGGGAAACCCUGAUCCAGCCAUGCCGCGUGUGUGAAGAAGGCCUUAUGGUUGUAAAGCACUUUAAGCGAGGAGGAGGCUACUGAGACUAAUACUCUUGGAUAGUGGACGUUACUCGCAGAAUAAGCACCGGCUAACUCUGUGCCAGCCGCCGCAGUAA